rnacentral:lncRNA from 1 species
CUCCCUGGGAUGAUGGUAGCAGCUGCUUGACUCUGAUUAGUGUUUCCGAAACUCAUCAGAUCCUAAUACUCAAAUUGGUGUUUGUUUCAAAUAGAUUUCCUAAUUCCUCCCUUGGAGAUUAUGAUUCAGUAGGGUCUGGGCAGAGACAGGAAAACUAUAUUUAUUUAUAACACACACACACCUUUUUUAAGCUCAGAGGAGUUUGAGAAAUUCAGAACUAGAGCUUUUUAUGGAUCAGGCAUUGUGCAAAUGCUUCAUGUUCAUUCGCAUUCAAUGCUCCCAAUGUGAUUCUGUGUGGUAGAAGCCAUUAUUUCCCCCAUUGUACAGGCGAGAAAAGUGAGCAUCAAGGUGAUUAAGGAACCCAACACAGCUAAACUCCAAAAAAGUGUGCCCUUAACCACUGCACUGUGCUAUAAUUUGUCAUUUUACUGCUCAGAUAAAAUGAGGAACUUGCUAAGACUUCUAGGCCAUCACCUCUGCUUAGGAAGGGUUAGUAUAGUAUAAAAGGAAAGGAUUUUCUUUGUCCCUACUCUGUACCUCAGUCACUCCACUCCUGGGAAUUUAUCCUGAGACACUAUUGGCCACUACCAGCAUGUGAGAUUUUUGGGGGUGGUACUUGAACUAAUGCUUUCUGUUUUAGUGGUGCUGGUUUUGUUUUUUUGUGCGUGUGUGAAGAAGAUUGGCCCUGAGCUAACAUCUCCUAUCCAUCUUCCUCUUUUUGCUUGAGGAAGAUUGUCACUGAGCUCACAUGUGUGCCAAUCUUCCUCUAUUUUAUGUGGGAUGCUGGCACAGCACGGCUUGAGGAGUGGUGUGUAGAUCCAUGCCUGGGAUCCAAACUGGCAAACCCCAGGCCGCUGAAGCGGAACACACAAACUUAACCACUACGCCACCGGACCAGCCCCAGUGCUGUAUUUAUUUUAAUGUGUAUUAGUUUGAAAAAAAAAGACUAGCAUAGUAAAUACUGUGUUUAAAAAUUAAUCAGUUUAAAAAAAUGGCAUUUGGUAGAUGAUAUUAUGGGUGGUAUGAAUAUAUGGCAAAUUUAGAGGACAUGAAUGAGUGAAAUUUGAGAAACACAGUGCUCAGAAAAGAGUCCAAAGGGAGAGAAUUUUUUGUAGAGCUGUUGACUUCAGCAUCCUCUGUAAAAGUCAGGAGUCUUGAUUGACAGGUAACAGAAUUUACGUUGGCUGGUCUAAGCAGAAGAGGGAUUUGUGUAAGGGUGCUAGGCAGCUUACAGAAUUCUGGGGCGGGCUGGAGAAAUAGCUCCCAAGCCAUAGAACUGAUCUGACCUGUUAAGAAAACUGCUGCUACUGCCACUGCCACCAAACACUAAAUGCCAGGACUUAGUCUUGUCUGCAGCAAAUACAGCUUGUGGCACUGAAGCCACUUUUGCAUCAAGGAAAUGACCUUCUCUCUCCCCUGGCCCCCAAAGCCAGGCAAAUUCAAAGUCUCACAUGGAUGUGUCUGAUUGGAGAAGCCUGGAUCAUCAUAUGUCAGUGUCCUUGUAUCAGAGAAGGCUGAGAGAUGUAUUCUAAGUGUGAUGUUGGGGAGCAGGACUGAUGGCAGGAAGUUUGCCCAGAUGUCCAGCCAUGCCUAAGACCAAUAUCACAGUGAAAGAGCGGAAUGAACACAAGUGUCCAGUAUGUGGAUAUGGUAGCAUGAAUUUUGGCUUAGCCACUAAAUAUUAACUGAGUGGGCACAGAGUUGCAGAGACAAGGGGAGCCAACCACCUGUGAAAAUGCUUGGGAGAAGUGUUAAAUGAAGAAGGAAGGCUGGCUACCAUAGAAAAAUAGCAUGCGUACAAGGUGGGAGUGGGGAGUGGGACAAAGGAAGUCAAAAACAAUCAUGGCUUUAAGAGGUUGUGAAUUUGCUUCAAGAAAGAGAGAUUUUUGUCUCUUUCAAACAUUUAUGUGAUUACAGUGAAAGAAAAAUUCUCUGUGCAGAAUCUUGAAGUCUUAAAAAAGAUGCUCUUAAAAUCAAACUGCUGGGGCCAGCCCUGUGGCUGAGUGGUUAAGCUCACGCGCUCCACUUUGGUGGCCCAGGGUUUCACCAGUUCAGAUCUUGGGCGCGGACCUAGCGCUGCUCAUCAGGCCAUGCUAAGGUGGCGUCCCAAAUAGCAGAACCAGAAGGACCUACAAUUAGAAUAUACAACUGUGUACUCGGGGCUUUGGGGAGCAGAAGAA